rnacentral:lncRNA from 1 species
AUGGGAACAUUGAUGCAACAUGAGCUAGGAAGGUACAUAAGGUCAGGACUUUUUAGAAGUCCUGCUUUGUUUUUUCAAGUGACUUACAGAAGAUCUGCAUUAGUGUGUAGAUGGACACUAAUGGCUUUGCAGAUUUUCAUGUCAUUCUGGAAAGUCCUGUUUACUUUCAUUUGGCUGGUGAAGCUUCUUCCAGGCACACAGGGUCACACUAAAGCCCAUGGAGCAGCACGGUGGGGACAAGCCCUGCAGACACAGGGUCCCUGCAGAAAUCCGGCGUGUGGCACAGGAGACAAAGGCACUCUGAAGUACUUUCUCUUGGAAACCCUGGCUUCAUUUUCAAAAAGCAAAGAGAUGUUGUUUGGGAGACACGAGCAUCUGCUUCGUGACUUCUCGGUGCAGGGGACAAGCAACUCGCUGGUGUCUUGCCAGGCACGUUCUCUGCUGUGCACUGCAAGGAUCAGGGCAUCCUCACCCAGGUUCGGGCAACGGUCACCAGCAGGACUGCAGGGCUGGCCCCAUUCCCAUUCAAGUCAGCAUGAGUUUCACACCUGGUUUGACUGGGAGCAGAAUCAGGUCCCUCAUUCAACUAUAUAAAUAGAAAGAUUUGAUUUCAGCGCAGCUCAAGAGCAUUCAUGGAAGACUUGAGCAGUGGAAACACUGGCUGCAGCUCUCCAGAAGAAGUCAGCAUCCAGCCGUGGUCGUUGGUCUCCCUACAGAUCCUCCAGAUCCUGCUCCAGGGAUUGACCUGGCCAGAUCCGGUCUAACAUCACAGAAGAACACAGUGAUCCCAGACUAAUAACUGAAAUAAUUUAAUAACUAAUUCGCAGGCCACUAAAUUCCAUGAGCUCAGACUUGGUGCGUGCACCUUGUUUUGCUGCGCCGCUUUCUUCCCAAAUGAAUGGUGCGAUAAAAGUAGCAGCAGCUUAGUGCCGAGUGCCUAAAAAAAGGUGUUUGUUUCCAUCGCAGCGCUUAGCUCAUUGUUCCUGCCACUUGUCCUGUUGACUGCCUCC